GUGUGUGUGGUGGGGAAAGCAGAGAGAAAGAGAGAGAGAGAGUGUGUGUGUGUGUGAGAGAGUGUGUGGUUGGGAAAGAAAGAGUGUGUGUGUUAGUGUGUGUGAGAGAGAGUCUGUGGUUGGGAGAGAGAGAGAGAGUGCAUGUGUGUGGAAAUGAGACAGAGUGCGUUUGAGAAGCAGAGAGAGUGAGCGUGGGAGACAGGGAGGGAGCGAGAGAGACAGAGAGAGAGAGAGAGAAUGUGUGUGUGUGUGUGUGUGUGUGUGUGUGUGUGCGUGCGUGCGUGCGUGCGUGUGUGUGUGUGUGUGUGUGUGUGUGUGUGUGAGUGCGGUUGGGAGAGACAAGGAAGUGUUUGUGUGAGAGUGAGUAUGUAUGUGUGAGAGAGAGAGUGUGUGUAUGUGGGAGAGAGAGUGUGUGUGUGGGAAGGGGAGAGGAGAGAGAGAAGUGCAGCAUCAUGAAGUUAUCCAUAGGCUUGUGAUAGAAUGAAGUAUUGAGCUGUAUGUCCUUGAUGGAGAGGCGUGUGUCCGAGAAUGAGACGGAUUGUAAAGAGUAGUCCAUGGAUAUUGGGAUAUCACCACCAGAUUAUCUGAAAUUAAGUAAAAUUUAAGAACAUCCUACACAGAGGCAGGAAGAAAAUGACAAUCUUUGAAUACUCUCUGCUCUGUUUCUCAUCAUCUGUUCAGCAAUAGACUUGGCUCCGGGCUGCACUGUCUGUAAUGAAACCCAGUGUCUCCAAGGUCCAUCCGAUGCAGUCAGCAGUAGGAAGGCCUGUUUCCUGUACUGCACGCUGUAAUUAGGCUUCAAGCUAUUUCAGAUGCUGUGAUGGUACAAUUUAUUUUUUGACUGUGCUAACUCCGGGGAUGGGCAGGGAGUAAGGACAGCUGGACUGCAUUCAGCUGGUGAAGAGCGAGAGGGCUGAAACCCUUCAUUGCAUUGUCUCUGCACUCAGACAAACCGUCUCAGCAGUUCCCAGAUGGCGGUUCCAUGCACACUUCAAUUCACGAAGCCCUGCAGCCAAAUAUGUUCUCACCUGGAUUGCAGAGAUUUAAAUUUUGGACUUCAAUUUGAAAGAUUUCUUUUUAUUUCUGCAGAACGUAUCUUUGGAGCUGACAAAGUGAUACUUCAAUUUGUGCUCUUGUUAUUCUAAUUUAGCACUGAAAGGCUCCACUGUUCAUAAUAACGAGACAGUUAUUAAAAUAAAUGAGACAAUGAAAAACCA